AAGCACAAGGAGCUUUUUGAAUCCAUUCUUGACCAAAGGCUGCAUUGAAAAAAGAGGACACACUUGAAUAGGACAAUUCUUCCAGAUUUCUGUCGAGUACGAGAAAGGGAAGCUAAUAUGUGUAUCCAUGAAGGCCCAACCAUGGGUGAAAAUUGUUAAGGGGCUUGGUACACCCCAAGUUAUUUCAUUACUAUUGUAUGAUACGUUUACAUUCAUGCUUGUAUUUGUAAACUCAUAAUACUAUUGGAAACCAAAUGGUUGGAACUAGAA